UAGGCCCUUAAAAUUCUUGUCGAGUCAUUCACUACUGAGGAACGUUAUACGCAUACUUCACAAUGUGGUGAUGAAAUUAUGUGCUACCUGUACACGUAUAACUACUUGUUAAUGGUUCAAGCACUGACGACAAAAGUUUUCGCACAAUGCUGCGACAGAGAAUGGUUACGCCGUGUGACACUAGAUGGCGUUUCAUCCGUGAAUAGACAAGUUAAUCGCUCAGUAACAUGAUUAUAACACUUGAAAAACCGCUGUCCGCCCACAAAUGCACUCGACAUUCCUAUCUACAGAUGAACACCACAUCUCUGGGCAUCGUUCACUGACAUCAUUAUACAGACAGUCCGCGCGCAACAUAAUAGUCGCGUGAGGGAUAUAUGAUAUAACGUCUAAACUUUAUACAUGGCAAGGUGGUCAAUGAAUAUAUGAAGUAGCUUAACAAAAGGUCUAUACACUCUAUGGCAAAGGGCAAACUUGUAGCCUGAUGGUUGGUUGACAACGCGAAAUUACAGUGCCACUUUUCUUGUUAUGUUCUACAUACAAAAAUGUCUCUUACAUUCUACCGUAAAUUGUUACCAAACUGUCAUUAUAACCUCGCAACAAUUAAUCAAAAUAAACACUGUCAGAGACUUGGUCGAGUGACUGAUGACAUCAUACGCCUCGAGUUGAUUGCCUGCUUAUUUCUCAUAAUAAAAUCAACUGAAGUGGCAUGAAUAUGCUUCAAAUGUGUUUAUUAACAAGUUGCGAUGCACUAUAAUCAAUUGGUCAUUAUUUAGAGACAUAAGCACUUAGUUAUUCA